rnacentral:rRNA from 1 species
UCUAAUACCGGAUAACACCUUCCUCCUCCUGGMGGAAGGUUAAAAGCUCCGGCGGUGAAGGAUGAGCCCGCGGCCUAUCAGCUUGUUGGUGAGGUAAUGGCUCACCAAGGCGACGACGGG